AUACGUAGGUGGCAAGCGUUGUCCGGAAUUAUUGGGCGUAAAGCGCGCGCAGGCGGUCCUUUAAGUCUGAUGUGAAAGCCCACGGCUCAACCGUGGAGGGUCAUUGGAAACUGGGGGACUUGAGUGCAGAAGAGGAAAGUGGAAUUCCAAGUGUAGCGGUGAAAUGCGUAGAGAUUUGGAGGAACACCAGUGGCGAAGGCGACUUUCUGGUCUGUAACUGACGCUGAGGCGCGAAAGCGUGGGGAGCAAACAGGAUUAGAUACCCUGGUAGUCCACGCCGUAAACGAUGAGUGCUAAGUGUUAGGGGGUUUCCGCCCCUUAGUGCUGCAGCUAACGCAUUAAGCACUCCGCCUGGGGAGUACGGUCGCAAGACUAAAACUCAAAGGAAUUGACGGGG
rnacentral:rRNA from 1 species